ensembl:snoRNA
GACUUUUUGUAGUUUAUAAGCCUGAUGACUGGGUGUUCCUGUGUGUGUGAGAUGUGCCACCCUCGAACCUUGUUACUACGGCGGCACAUCGCGCGUCUGACA